AGAGUUUGAUCCUGGCUCAGGACGAACGCUGGCGGCGUGCCUAAUACAUGCAAGUCGAACGCUUCUUUUUCCACCGGAGCUUGCUCCACCGGAAAAAGAAGAGUGGCGAACGGGUGAGUAACACGUGGGUAACCUGCCCAUCAGAAGGGGAUAACACUUGGAAACAGGUGCUAAUACCGUAUAACAAUCGAAACCGCAUGGUUUUGAUUUGAAAGGCGCUUUCGGGUGUCGCUGAUGGAUGGACCCGCGGUGCAUUAGCUAGUUGGUGAGGUAACGGCUCACCAAGGCCACGAUGCAUAGCCGACCUGAGAGGGUGAUCGGCCACAUUGGGACUGAGACACGGCCCAAACUCCUACGGGAGGCAGCAGUAGGGAAUCUUCGGCAAUGGACGAAAGUCUGACCGAGCAACGCCGCGUGAGUGAAGAAGGUUUUCGGAUCGUAAAACUCUGUUGUUAGAGAAGAACAAGGAUGAGAGUAACUGUUCAUCCCUUGACGGUAUCUAACCAGAAAGCCACGGCUAACUACGUGCCAGCAGCCGCGGUAAUACGUAGGUGGCAAGCGUUGUCCGGAUUUAUUGGGCGUAAAGCGAGCGCAGGCGGUUUCUUAAGUCUGAUGUGAAAGCCCCCGGCUCAACUGGGGAGGGUCAUUGGAAACUGGGAGACUUGAGUGCAGAAGAGGAGAGUGGAAUUCCAUGUGUAGCGGUGAAAUGCGUAGAUAUAUGGAGGAACACCAGUGGCGAAGGCGGCUCUCUGGUCUGUAACUGACGCUGAGGCUCGAAAGCGUGGGGAGCAAACAGGAUUAGAUACCCUGGUAGUCCACGCCGUAAACGAUGAGUGCUAAGUGUUGGAGGGUUUCCGCCCUUCAGUGCUGCAGCUAACGCAUUAAGCACUCCGCCUGGGGAGUACGACCGCAAGGUUGAAACUCAAAGGAAUUGACGGGGGCCCGCACAAGCGGUGGAGCAUGUGGUUUAAUUCGAAGCAACGCGAAGAACCUUACCAGGUCUUGACAUCCUUUGACCACUCUAGAGAUAGAGCUUCCCCUUCGGGGGCAAAGUGACAGGUGGUGCAUGGUUGUCGUCAGCUCGUGUCGUGAGAUGUUGGGUUAAGUCCCGCAACGAGCGCAACCCUUAUUGUUAGUUGCCAUCAUUCAGUUGGGCACUCUAGCAAGACUGCCGGUGACAAACCGGAGGAAGGUGGGGAUGACGUCAAAUCAUCAUGCCCCUUAUGACCUGGGCUACACACGUGCUACAAUGGGAAGUACAACGAGUCGCGAAGUCGCGAGGCUAAGCUAAUCUCUUAAAGCUUCUCUCAGUUCGGAUUGCAGGCUGCAACUCGCCUGCAUGAAGCCGGAAUCGCUAGUAAUCGCGGAUCAGCACGCCGCGGUGAAUACGUUCCCGGGCCUUGUACACACCGCCCGUCACACCACGAGAGUUUGUAACACCCGAAGUCGGUGAGGUAACCUUUUGGAGCCAGCCGCCUAAGGUGGGAUAGAUGAUUGGGGUGAAGUCGUAACAAGGUAGCCGUAUCGGAAGGUGCGGCUGGAUCACCU
rnacentral:rRNA from 1 species